GUGCAAAGGUAGCAUAAUAAUUUGUUUUUUAAUUAGAAACUAGAAUGAAUGGUCAAACGAAAUAGCGACUUUAUUUAAAAUAAAAAUUUAAAUUUUAUUUUAAGUGAAAAUACUUAAAUUUUACAAAAAGACGAGAAGACCCUGUAGAAUUUUAUUAUAAUGUUAAAUUUAUGUCUAAAAUAAAUUGAAUUCUUUUUUCGAUAUAAUUUAGUUGGGGCGACGGUAAAAUAUAAUAAACUUUUAAUUUUAAAAACUUAUAAUUAAGAAUAGCUGAUCCUUAAAAAAGAUUAAAUGGUUAAUUACCUCAGGGAUAACAGCGUAAUCUUUCUUAAGAGUUCUAAUCGACAGAAGGGUUUGCGACCUCGAUGUUGAAUUAAA
rnacentral:rRNA from 1 species